AUGUGUUCCAUUUCCACAUCACACAACGGGGGUUCUUUUGAGGAUGAGCAGGUAGCAAGUCCUCAAGGAACACUGACUGAAUGAAUCCCUAACUCAAGGGCCACAGGCCUGGACAGGGAGAGGGGCCAAAGGGGUCCGAAGUUACUGGGUGAAUGGGAACAUCCUUAGAGGCAAAAGACACCGGCACUUCCCAGCCUCCUGUGGCACCAUCAGGCCUCCAGGGACACCACGGCCCUCUGAAGUGCUGUUGCGAUGAGAGAAACGCUCUAGGUCUGUUCCAGAGAACACAGCUGAGGCCACUGCAGCUUCCCCCUCCGUGAUGUGUUAGUGAGAUACUGGCUGGAAGAGCAGACCCCGUCUGUGUGAUUCUGGUGCACGCUUCAAACGGCUGGGACCUCAAACGCAGCAAUGACUCGAAAGCCCAGGGAAGCAAGAACUCGCUGUGCAAAACAAGACUGAGCAUGGAAAACAAGAGCGCUGCACAGUCAACCACUAAAGUGAUUUGAAAUCGGGUGUGUUUUGUUUCUUCGACUACAUAAAUGAAAACAUUUUCACCAAGGUAAAAACAAACUAAAGAGGAAUGUUGCAGGACAACGGAAAGAGACUCUUCGGGUCCGUUCUCAGGCCCCUGCUAUGUGUGUGCUCACUGAACGUCUUCAGGACAGGGGCUGGAAAAACAGAUUGUAGAAGACAGAACAUUUGAAAAAUAAUAAAGAAGUACACAGAAUAAACCAAAAGAACUUCCUGUAAUCUA